rnacentral:rRNA from 1 species
AGCGGCGAACGGGUUAGUAACACGUGGGAACGUACCCUUUUCUGCGGAAUAGCCUCGGGAAACUGAGAGUAAUACCGCAUACGCCCUUCGGGGGAAAGAUUUAUCGGAGAAGGAUCGGCCCGCGUCUGAUUAGGUAGUUGGUGGGGUAAUGGCCUACCAAGCCUACGAUCAGUAGCUGGUUUUAGAGGAUGAUCAGCAACACUGGGACUGAGACACGGCCCAGACUCCUACGGGAGGCAGCAGUGGGGAAUCUUAGACAAUGGGCGCAAGCCUGAUCUAGCCAUGCCGCGUGAGUGAUGAAGGCCUUAGGGUCGUAAAGCUCUUUCGCUGGGGAAGAUAAUGACUGUACCCAGUAAAGAAACCCCGGCUAACUCCGUGCCAGCAGCCGCGGUAAUACGGAGGGGGUUAGCGUUGUUCGGAAUUACUGGGCGUAAAGCGCGCGUAGGCGGAUAUUUAAGUCGGGGGUGAAAUCCCGGGGCUCAACCCCGGAACUGCCUUCGAUACUGGGUAUCUUGAGGUCGAGAGAGGUGAGUGGAAUUCCGAGUGUAGAGGUGAAAUUCGUAGAUAUUCGGAGGAACACCAGUGGCGAAGGCGGCUCACUGGCUCGAUACUGACGCUGAGGUGCGAAAGUGUGGGGAGCAAACAGGAUUAGAUACCCUGGUAGUCCACACUGUAGACGAUGAAUGCCAGUCGUC